rnacentral:rRNA from 1 species
CACAUGACUCUCGGCAACGGAUAUCUCGGCUCUCGCAUCGAUGAAGAACGUAGCAAAAUGCGAUACCUGGUGUGAAUUGCAGAAUCCCGCGAACCAUCGAGUUUUUGAACGCAAGUUGCGCCCGAGACCUUCUGGUUGAGGGCACGUCUGCCUGGGCGUCACGC